rnacentral:rRNA from 1 species
GAGUUUGAUCUUGGCUCAGGAUGAACGCUAGCGGCAGGCUUAACACAUGCAAGUCGAGGGGCAGCAAGGGUAGCAAUACCUGUUGGCGACCGGCAAACGGGUGCGGAACACGUACAGAAUCUACCUUUGUCUGGGGCAUAGCCCGGAGAAAUCCGGAUUAACUCCCCAUAAUAUAAUUGAGAGGCAUCUUUUGGUUAUUAAAAUUUAUUGGACAGAGAUGACUGUGCGUCCCAUUAGCUAGUUGGUAGGGUAACGGCCUACCAAGGCGACGAUGGGUAGCUGGUGUGAGAGCACGACCAGCCACACGGGCACUGAGACACGGGCCCGACUCCUACGGGAGGCAGCAGUGAGGAAUAUUGGUCAAUGGACGCAAGUCUGAACCAGCCAUGCCGCGUGAAGGAUGAAGGCCUUCUGGGUUGUAAACUUCUUUUACUGGGGAAGAAAACUAUGGUUUCUACUAUAGCCGACGGUACCCCAAGGAAUAAGCACCGGCUAACUCCGUGCCAGCAGCCGCCGUAAC